CCCGCCGCUACCUCCACCACCGGCUUUCUCCUUCUCCUCAUCCACAUCGUCAUCCCAAUUCGCAUUUGCCCCAAUAUUCGAAUUAUUAUCAGAGUGCAACGACACCGUUGCGGCCUGGACAUAUUCGUCUUUUCCGAUGGAGUCGAUGUCAUUUGCAGAAGUCGGAGUAGACACGUCGCAAAACUUAGGGUUUGUUUGUUUCCUGGUACUUUUUUUCCCAGAAAAUCUCGAAAUUUUCUCGUUGAGUUCCCCCAUGUUGAAAAGGUCACAGAGAACAUUGGUCAUUGCACCGAACCAUUGCUUGUCUCCACUCUCGCUUGAAGUCUCCGCGGCGUGGCUACUAUGAGCAGUGACUCGUUUAUUAUCAGACUGGGUCGACUCGGAGUUGGAGUUCAUUAAGGAAUUAGAGGGAUUGGCAAGUGGAGAAUCGGAAAAGGAAUUGUGGUGGUUGGUGAGGAAGCGGUCGAGGUCGAGAUCGUCGGCGGCCGGGAAGCCUUUGUUGGAGCGGAGCCGGUCCAGCCAGUUUGAACCGGACUUGCCAGUCGGGAUCGAACAGAGCAUUGGAAGAGGUGGAGCAAAAUGAUUGGAUGAUGAAAUGAAUUGGAGAAUUUCC
rnacentral:misc_RNA from 1 species